rnacentral:rRNA from 1 species
GGCCGCACAGCGAGACAUGUGUUAUCGAUGAUACGCGAGACUACCGGCUUGAACUGCAGAGAACGAUCCAGAGAUGUGAGCCUUCGGGCUCCUGUGGAGUGCUGCAUGUGUCGUCAGCUCGUGCCGUGAGUGUCGGCUUAAGUGCCAUAACGAGCGCACCCCUGCCUAUAGUUGCCAUCGGUGAUGCCGGGCACUCUGUAGGGACUGCCACCGCAAGGUGUGAGGAAGGUGGGGAUGACGUCAAAUCAGCACGGCCCUUACGUCCGGGGCUACACACGUGUUACAAUGGGGGGUACAGCGAGUCGGUCGUAUGCAAAUGCGGUCUAAUCAUGAAAGCCUCCCUCAGUUCGGAUUGGGGUCUGCAACCCGACCCCAUGAAGCUGGAUUCGCUAGUAAUCGCGCAUCAGCCAUGGCGCGGUGAAUACGUUCCCGGGCCUUGUACACACCGCCCGUCAAGCCAUGAAAGCCGGGGGCGCCUGAAGUCCGUGACCGCGAGGGUCGGCCUAGGGUGAAACCGGUGAUUGGGGCU